GAUGAAGAACGCAGUGAAAUGCGAUAAGUAAUGUGAAUUGCAGAAUUCAGUGAAUCAUCGAAUCUUUGAACGCACAUUGCGCCCGUCAGUAUUCUGGCGGGCAUGCCUGUUCGAGCGUCAUUACGCCCCUCAAGUCCCCUGUGGACUUGGUGUUGGGGAUCGGCGAGGCUGGUUUUCCAGCACAGCCGUCCCUUAAAUUAAUUGGCGGUCUCGCCGUGGCCCUCCUCUGCGCAGUAGUAAAACACUCGCAACAGGAGCCCGGCGCGGUCCACUGCCGUAAAACCCCCCAACUUUUUAUAGUUGACCUCGAAUCAGGUAGGACUACCCUCUGAACUUAAGCAUAUCAAUAAGCGGAGGA
rnacentral:misc_RNA from 1 species